rnacentral:misc_RNA from 1 species
AACGCAACUGGCGCCGGUUUACCGGCAUGCCUGUUUCAGUGUGCUAGGAGAGUAAACUAUCAUUAUAAAAUAUAAUGCGAUUGAGGUACAUUUAUGUUCUUCUUUCGUUAAAUAUGAAGGUGUGAAAGAUGAGUAAUCUCUCACACUGGCAAACGAAGUAGUCACGCUUGUUCGUGAUCUCGUUUAACCAGUGCUAAAGGUUUUUGCUUAGCUAUAAAUCACAUCUAAUCAAUAAAAAAUCUCAAAAUUUGACAACGGAAACAAGACAGGGAUACCCGCCGAACUUAG